GAUAGCUUCCCCGGAGCCAGUCGAACUCCACGUAGGGGUCAGGGAAUCCGGUGCGAAUCCGGAACUGACGCGCAGCGGUGAGGGGGACGGGCGGGGCCACGGCCACUGGGAGACCCGGCGUCUCCCGGGAAGGCGUCCCGCCCGAACGAACCCGAGUCCGAAGACCUGCUGGCGACCGCCGCCCGGG
rnacentral:ncRNA from 2 species